UACGUAGGGGCAAGCGUUGUCCGGAAUCAUUGGGCGUAAAGAGCGUGUAGGCGGCCAGAUAAGUCCGCUGUGAAAUCUCGAGGCUCAACUUCGAGCUGUCGGUGGAACUGUCUGGCUAGAGUCCGGAAGAGGAGAAUGGAAUUCCUGGUGUAGCGGUGAAAUGCGCAGAUAUCAGGAAGAACACCCGUGGCGAAGGCGGUCUCUGGGACGGUACUGACGCUGAGACGCGAAAGCGUGGGAGCGAACAGG
rnacentral:rRNA from 1 species